CUGUCUGGGACAUAAGCCCAGUGAUCUUGCUUUUGAGGAACAAAAAGCCGCCUAUAAUUGCACCCUGAUUUCUACCUGUUUAUCCUGGGACUCUGAGCAGUCACAUUAAACACACCUGGUGUAGAAUUCCGGCCUUCCCCCUGCACCCCCCCUUCCCCCUUUGUCAUUGCCCCUUCUCAUCCUCUGACAUGUUCUGCCCCUCUCCAGCUCAGAGCAUAAAAUGAGGUUGUGGGGACACAGGCACUCCUGGUUUAACAGGACCUGGUUAUACUAGAUCUGGAUAUUGGUCAAAGGGGGAGGCAUCUCUCAAGCUAAACCUCUAACUUUGGCAACUCUCUCCACAUACACUUUGGAAUUCACUGUUUUUCAGGGAAAGAGGAAAACUCCCCUCCAAUUUUGGACUCACCCAAAUUUAUUAAUACCCAGUCCUUAAAGAGCUUGAGGGCAGAAUUAAACCACUGCCAGGGGCAAAAAAGCUGUUGAGGCCAGUGACCACGUGAGAGUACCACGGCAAUAUUACUUCAUGCUUUCACGGAGACUGGGAGAGUCUACUUUUUUUUUUUUCCUCAAAGAUUUUAUUUAUUUGACAGAGACAGCCAGCGAGAGAGAGAACACAAGCAGGGGGAGUGGGAGAGGAAGAAGCAGGCUCAUAGCGGAAGAGCCUGAUGUGGGGCUCGAUCCCACAACGCCGAGAUCACGCCCUGAGCCGAAGGCAGAUGCUUAACGGCUGCACCACCCAGGCGCCCCAAGGGAGAGUCUACUUUCAACUGUACUUGUGGCCUGGCAACUGAGUCAGAGAUGAUGCUAAAAACAAGUGCGAUGACAGGACUUCACAACAAGCCAUCCUCACUUCUCACAGUUUGUGGCUCCACCACCUUCCUGCUCCCCCCGCCUCUGUGUUCGGUAAGAAACGCCAUGUGUAGAAACAAAAGCAAACUGGUACAGAUGCUGCACAACCACUAGAAAAUCACGUGUGACGAUUCUAGCUGUGAACUCCCCAGGUGAGUCAAAUCCCUCACAGCACCAUGUACUGUGGCAGUCACCACACAGGGGAAUCCACGUUUACACCUUCCAGUGUGAUGAUUUGGCGGAUCAAGAGCAGACUGUCUGAAGCCCUCCACUCGAUGUAUUCAGAAGGCGGCAUACUUGGGAGACAAAGCCAACUCACCAAAUGAAUGAAAAUUUGCAGUAUAUUACAGAUUAAAUGAUUUCUUGAGGCUUAAAGGA